rnacentral:lncRNA from 1 species
CCCCCUCCCCAGUAUCUUGUGCAAGACAAAGCUACCUUUCCUCGUGGGAACGGACUGGCCGGGCUUUGGCAAUCUGGCCCCUCGAAAGACUAAAGUGACCUCUUCCAACAGGGGAAGACUUUCUGGCUCCCUCUUUCCCUUCGGUCGCCGUGGGUGUGCCGGACGCCUCUGGCAGGACUAACCCUGUGGCUUUUAUGUCCAACGUGCUGUGCUGUGUGUGCCUGCAGCAUCCUGUACAAGACAAAGCUACCUUUCUUUCCUCGUGGGAAUGGACCGGCCGGGCUUUGGCAAUCUGGCCCCUCGAAAGACUAAGUGACCUCUUCCAGCAGGGGAAGACUGAAGCAAGGGGUGCCAGGAAGAACUGGAGUCUCUGGAGAAUAAAAGCUGGAAGCGUGCCCCUGAAAAUCCCCAGCCCUGGGUGGUCAGUGGUCUGACUUGCACGGACCGGUGGCCUUGGCCAGGAGCGGUCCUGCCGGCCUGUAAUUUGAAUUUCCUGCCCAGGCUGUAAUUUUAAUUUCCACUGGGUGCUGGCAAAGCCCCCCUGGGGGUGAGCCCCGGUGCCUGGCAGGAGCGGAGCGGGCUUGCGGGGCCCUCCUGGCAGGCGUUGUGUUUAAGGGAAGGGCAGGGGAGCCUUUCUGUGGCCCAGAGGAGCUUCAGUGUUCUUUCUUCCUCUCUGG